UUCUUUUUCUGUACGUGUAGAUAGAUUGAAAAAUAAAAAGUGAGGUAGAUGGAUGGUUGAAGGAAUAAUAAAACUUUCCCCAAAAAUAGCUACAGAAACAUAAAAACAUU